GCUGUAGCUCAGUGGCACAGCGCCUGCCUCUCAUGUGUGAGGCACUGGGUUCGAUCCUCAGCACCA
rnacentral:tRNA from 1 species